rnacentral:rRNA from 1 species
GAUGAACGCUGGCGGCGUGCCUAAUACAUGCAAGUCGAGCGAACAGACGAGGAGCUUGCUCCUCUGACGUUAGCGGCGGACGGGUGAGUAACACGUGGAUAACCUACCUAUAAGACUGGGAUAACUUUGGGAAACCGGGGCUAAUACCGGAUAAUAUAUUGAACCGCAUGGUUCAAUAGUGAAAGACGGUUUUGCUGUCACUUAUAGAUGGAUCCGCGCCGCAUUAGCUAGUUGGUAAGGUAACGGCUUACCAAGGCAACGAUGCGUAGCCGACCUGAGAGGGUGAUCGGCCACACUGGAACUGAGACACGGUCCAGACUCCUACGGGAGGCAGCAGUAGGGAAUCUUCCGCAAUGGGCGAAAGCCUGACGGAGCAACGCCGCGUGAGUGAUGAAGGUCUUCGGAUCGUAAAACUCUGUUAUUAGGGAAGAACAAAUGUGUAAGUAACUAUGCACGUCUUGACUGUACCUAAUCAGAAAGCCACGGCUAACUACGUG